AUUGAACGCUGGCGGCAGGCCUAACACAUGCAAGUCGAGCGAGCGGCGGACGGGUGAGUAAUGUAUGGGGAUCUGCCCGAUAGAGUGGGAUAACUACUGGAAACGGUGGCUAAUACCGCAUACUAUCGGAUGAACCCAAGUGGGAUUAGCUCGUAGGUGGGGUAAAGGCUCACCUAGGCGCCGAUCGCUAGCUGGUCUGAGAGGAUGAUCAGCCAAACUGGGACUGAGACACGGCCCAGACUCCUACGGGAGGCAGCAGUGGGGAAUAUUUCGCAAUGGGCGCAAGCCUGAUGCAGCCAUGCCGCGUGUAUGAAGAAGGCCUUAGGGUUGUAAAGUACUUUCAGCGGGGAGGCGUUACCCGCAGAAGAAGCACCGGCUAACUCCGUGCCAGCAGCCGCGGUAAUAC
rnacentral:rRNA from 1 species